rnacentral:lncRNA from 1 species
ACCCUUUUCCCUCUUUCUCACUUCUCGUAAUUCCCCUUUUCCCUCUUUCCUUCACCGUUGAAGCUAUCAUCGGUGUCGACGUUGAAGGCGUUGUUGCUAUCCCUGUCGUCCUUCCCUUUUCCCUCUUUCUCAGUUUCACGUAAUUUCGCUUUUCCCUCUUUCCUUCACCGUUGAAGCUACCGCGGUGUCGACGUUGAAGGCAUUAUUGCUGUCCCUGUCAUCCUUCACCACUGAAGCUACUGUCAAUGUCGACGUUGAAGCUACCGUUAGUGUCGACGUUGAAGCUACCGUCAGUACCUUCACCGUCUAUCAAUUGUUGUUGCUGCUACUCCUCAAAGGGGUGAGGAAAUUUAAUUCUUUCACUCAGUUAUCCCUAUUGUUUGUUAUAUCCGUUAACAUAAGAAAUUUAACACCGUCUAUCAAUUGCCUUCACUCAGCUAUUCCUGUCACUGCUACUCCUCAAAGGUGAGAAAAUAUAAUUCUUUUACUCAGCUAUCCCUAU